GGAGAGAUGGCUCAGCAGGUAAGAGCACUGACUGCUCUUCCGAAGGCCCUGGGUUCAAAUCCCAAUCACCCUU
rnacentral:tRNA from 2 species